rnacentral:rRNA from 1 species
GAUGAACGCUGGCGGCGUGCCUAAUACAUGCAAGUAGAACGCUGAAGGAAGGAUCGUGCUCUUUCCGGAUGAGUUGCGGACGGGUGAGGAACGCGUAGGUAACCUGCCUGGUAGCGGGGGAUAAGUAUUGGAAACGAUAUCUAAUACCGCAUAACAGGGGAUGUUGGAGGAUAUCUACUUAAAAAGUGCAAUUGCACCACUACCAGAGGGACCUGAGUUGUAUUAGCUAGGUGGUGAGGUAACGGCUCACCAAGGCGACGAUACAUAGACGAGCUGGGAGGGAGGACGGCCACAAUGGGACUGAGACACGGCCCAGACCUCUAAGGGAGGCAGCAGUAGGGAAUCUUUGGAAAUGGACGGAAGGCUGAACGCGCAACGCCGCGGGAGUGAAGAAGGGUUUCGGAUCGUAAAGCUCUGUUGUAAGAGAAGAAAGAGUGUGAGAGUGGAAAGUUCACACUGUGACGGUACCUAAACAGAAAGGGACGGCUAACUACGUG